UAGUUUUCUUUUAAAACAUAUUUGUACAAUAAAAAUGAUUAUAGCGUAAUCGGUCCAAUAGUAAUCCUUACCAAGCUCAGCAUUCAUACACUUACCAUUCAUUCACCACAUAUCAAAGCAAUGGUAUCCAGCAACCAAAUUCUUCAACAAAACCCAACUACCAAUAUAAGAAAAAACAAACCAAGUUAAAAAGCAGAAUAAGCAAAAUGCAUUGUUACCAUCAUUCCAGAGGUAUGUGAUGCUAUAUGGAAAACUUUAAAAUAUAUUCAUAUGCCAGUUCUAACUAGAGAACAUUGGGAGGAUAUAUUAAUAUAUUUUUAGAUUGCACAAAAAUAUUUUGACCUGGCUAAUUAGAUGGUAAGCACUUUAUAUCAAAAGUUAGAAAAACCAAUAUCAAACACCUUAAAAAACUAUGAAACCUUAUCCUAUGAAAAAUACCAGUCC